rnacentral:lncRNA from 1 species
AGCAGAUGCAGGUGGUGCUGGCUUCUGUGGCUUCUUCUGACACAGGUUGUCCUGUCUUCUAGCAGAUAAAACACAGGACAGAAUGUCAUGGGGAGGAGAUGAGACAAGACCCUAAAACCAUCAAGUACAGCACGACACCGUCUCUGCCUUGACUACUGCAUGUACCCCCAUCUGUGACAGAUGUGUUAGACCCCUCUUCCUCCCAAUCCCCCAUACAAACCCCUGCCUUUUGUCUGUUGAACACUGAUGGGCCUCUCACCCUCAGGCCACCUCCACCCUGGUGAAUAACAUCUGUGCCUCUUUGCUUUCCACUAGCCCACUCAGGUGGUCUCAUAUCUCUGUCAUUUGUCACAGUGGGGACUCCACUUUAUAGCCAGCUGGGGUGACGGCCACAUUGGGACAGAGCCCCCACCUGUGGGCGGUGUGGUCUACAGGUCUAGAUGCACUGGUGCUCAGAGCCUGUGGUGACACAGAUUGACUGAGCCUGAAUCUGUCCGUGUGGUCCACUUCUGAGUCUCACCCUGGGGCCAAGGACCAGAAAAGUUCCUAAAGCUCAGCUGGCCACCAACACCCCCGGGUUCUUUACGUGUACUCCUCUGUCUUCCCCACUAAGCACACGGCCAUUUUCCCUGGAUACCACUGCUCCUCGGAAACCUCGCUUGUGGUGAUGGGCUGCCACAGAAGUCAGGUACGCGGAGGGACACCACAGACUUCUGCUGAGGAGCAAGAAGCAGAGGACCAAAUGAGUGCUGGAAAAACACUGGGCACAUGGGGUUCACUCCUUACUCUCUCAUCAGUGCUAAAUCCAAACCCUAAAGUGGUAAGGACAGAUUUACAUCUCAGGAAUAUAAAAGGUGUGGCUGAAAAAUAUGGUGAAUGUUUAAAUAUGAAAAUCAUCACAGUAAAUGACACAUUGCCAUGAAUCCCUUUCAAAGUACUCCUCCUCACUUCAAACACUUAUCCAUCAUCCCUGCCACCUCCUGAAGCUACUCCGGAAGUCCUCUUUUGCAUCUUUAGUGGUGCUAGUGUGGCGCCUUGGUGUCUUGAAUAGAUCAAAAUGUUCACCUUUCCCAAUCAUUUUGGCUUCGGGUAAGAGCCGGGAGGCUGAGGCAAGAGAAUUACGUGUUCCUGCCCAGCCUGGGCAGCUUGCAAUUUAGCAGAGACCCUGUCUCUAAACAAGAAAUCAAGAGGGCUGGGCAUGUAGCUCAAUGCUAAGACCCUGGGUUCAAUCCCCAGUACCUGAAGGGAGGGAGAGGGAGAGGGAGAGGGAGAGAGAGGGAGGGAGAGAGAG